ensembl:lncRNA
AUGUCGUAUAGGCGACGCACUUUAAUUAUUAACAACCUUGUAGCUUCUACUUUGUGGCAUCGUUUAGCAUGUGUGGACCCUCCUCUGUGUUUACUCUCUGAUAUUCAGAAAGUUUUGAUUGAUUUUUUUUUGGGAAAAGUUACACUGGGUAUCCUAAAGUGUACUUUUUUAUCUAAGGAUGAAGGAGGGCAGGGUCUUAUAAAUGUGCAAAGUAGAGUUGCAGCUUUUCGAAUGCGGUUUGUACACAGACUUUUGUAUGGAGCAUCCAAUUCAAAUUGGAAGGUUGUGGCUUGUGAGAUUCUGAGGAACCUGGGAGGACUAGGUCUUGAUAAGUCUCUGUUUUUGAUAGAACUCCCAAAUAUUAAUACACUGAAGGCACCAAUUUUUUAUCAGAACAUUUUUAAAGUUUGGAAAUUGUUUGAUGUUAAUAUCGGACCAAAUUCAAGUUUGUUUUGGUUACUUCAAGAACCACUGAUUUAUGGAACUCGUUUUGGAAAUGUAGUAAACAGUUCUUAUUCAACUGCAAACACUGGACUAUUAAUUAAAGCAGGCUUUACGACAGUGGGACAUUUAGUAAAUAAUGCAGGACCGGACUUGGACAACAUUGAGAAGACAGCGGCAAAGUUGGGACUUAAAUCGUUAAGGCUGGUUCAUCAACUUUUAAUGAAGUGGAGGUCAGUUCUUGUGGAAGAGGAGUUGAAAACCAUCAAAGAUUUUUGUAGCGGGGUCAUAACACCAAACGAGGAUGACCCUUUCUUUUCUUUAAUCCUGUCACCUAAAAUGGAUGAGUGUGAAGGUCCUUUUUUGGAAAAGAAAGAUGUAUUUUUCAGUGCUGAUUCAUUUAAUGUGAAAGAUGUGUAUAAAAAUUGUGUGAAAGUUUUUAACAGAAAGGUUUUAUGUAACAGGAGUGAUACACCAUGGCGUGAUGUCAUUGGGCUUAGUAGAGUUUUUAGACCACAAUGGAGAGCACUAUAUAAGCCACCUUUACCUAAGAGAGCGGGUGACAUGCAAUGGAGAAUCUUACAUGGGGUUGUAGCUGUGAAUGCUUUUAUUUCUGUAAUAAAUCCAGAGAUAAGUGCUGAUUGUCCAUUUUGCUCUCAGAGAGAGACUGUUUUUCAUGCUUUUAUGUUUUGUGAAAGAUUGAGACCAUUAUUUUCUGUCGUAGACUCUUUUUUUUUAAGGAAUUUAAUGAAAAUUUCUCUAUGCAAAUGUUUAUUUGUGGUUUUAAAUAUGUUAAAAGAAAAGCUUUGGUGUGUCAGUUGUUGA